CCUACGGGAGGCUGCAGGGGGGAAUAUUGGACAAUGGGCGAAAGCCUGAUCCAGCCAUGCCGCGUGUGUGAAGAAGGCCUUCGGGUUGUAAAGCACUUUCAGUGGGGAAGAAAGCCUUGGGGCUAAUACCCUCGAGGAAGGACAUCACCCACAGAAGAAGCACCGGCUAACUCCGUGCCAGCAGCCGCGGUAAUACGGAGGGUGCGAGCGUUAAUCGGAAUUACUGGGCGUAAAGCGCGCGUAGGCGGUCUGAUAAGCCGGUUGUGAAAGCCCCGGGCUCAACCUGGGAACGGCAUCCGGAACUGUCAGGCUAGAGUGCAGGAGAGGAAGGUAGAAUUCCCGGUGUAGCGGUGAAAUGCGUAGAGAUCGGGAGGAAUACCAGUGGCGAAGGCGGCCUUCUGGACUGACACUGACGCUGAGGUGCGAAAGCGUGGGUAGCAAACAGGAUUAGAUACCCCAGUAGUC
rnacentral:rRNA from 1 species